UGGGGAAUAUUGCACAAUGGGCGCAAGCCUGAUUCAGCCAUGCCGCGUGUAUGAAGAAGGCCUUCGGGUUGUAAAGUACUUUCAGCGGGGAGGAAGGGAGUAAAGUUAAUACCUUUGCUCAUUGACGUUACCCGCAGAAGAAGCACCGGCUAACUCCGUGCCAGCAGCUGCGGUAAUACGGAGGGUGCAAGCGUUAAUCGGAAUUACUGGGCGUAAAGCGCACGCAGGCGGUUGAUUGAGUCAGAUGUGAAAUCCCCGGGCUUAACCCGGGAAUUGCAUCUGAUACUGGUCAGGUAGAGUCUUGUAGAGGGGGGUAGAAUUCCAUGUGUAGCGGUGAAAUGCGUAGAGAUGUGGAGGAAUACCGGGGGCGAAGGCGGCCCCCUGGACAAAGACUGACGCUCAGGUGCGAAAGCGUGGGGAGCAAACAGG
rnacentral:rRNA from 1 species